CUCGCCGUGCCCACACACUCGCAGGUGCAGCCCAGCAUCACCUGAACCUGAACAGUGUACGCAGCAGAAGACGAGGAGGGUGCAGUGCCCCUCAGGUGUAGGUGUGACCUUCACCUGAUAUCAACUGAGCAGCCUCCUACUUGACCAAGUCGUGCGGAUAAAUAUGGACCGUGUAGAUGCCAGUAUACUUUUUAAUGAAUUUGUUUUGGCCUUCAUUACCAGGAUGUUUCAUGAGCAUAUUAUUUUGAUAGUUUGUAUAUAGUAUACAGUUGUUGUUAUUGUUAUUUGAAGAAUACAUUCAUAUUUGGUGAAAGAGGGAAACGGCCAGCCUUGACUGGCUAGUUUGAAAUGAGUGUUGAGUGGUUAAAUGGAUUUUGAGUUCUGAGACAUCGAACUAGAAUGUUUCAAACCUACCCAUUCACGGCGAGGACUUUGGCCGGCUAGCCCAGUACAGCUCAGCCCUUAUUGCCGUGUGGAUGUAGAGUGCUACAUAUAUCGAUUGCCGUGGAUUUACAGUGUUGUGUGGAAUACUUGGUGAGUUUAAAACUUUGUUAUUUGUUAUAUUAUAGAUGUAUUUAGCAGUGUGGAUUUCAUUGUAGACUUCAUCUGUUAAUAAGUUUAAUUAUUAUAAGCUUCAAGCCAGUGACGAGGCCAUUAAGUUGUUGGAGAGAGAUUCGGUUUACUGUGAAGAAAUUCUUAGUUAUUUAUCUUUAUUUAUUAUCAACACAUAGUAAUGCAAGGCAAUAGUUAUUUAAUUGGGUUAAUGAAAUCUUACGUAAUUAUUUAGUCUACCGUGAAGUCCACACGUUUAAUAUUGCGAUUCGGUUGUGAUAGAUUGUGAUAAUUGAGAAAAAUUGGUUAUAUCAAAUUGGGUUAACGAAACUCUAUACGAAGAAGUACAUGUAAGACCUUUCUUUGUAGAAUGAUUCAGAGGCCGGUUGAGAUCGAGAUUCGAUCUGUUCUUCGUAUUUAUGAGACAGGGAUACAGCUUGAUACAACUUGUAGUCGAGUUAAAGUGCAAUAAAGGUGGACGGCUACAGAGCGUUAUCAUCUAUCCCAGUGUUGGACAACUAGGGCUUCUACAGAGCGAUUGCAUGAGUUUCAAAUCAGUGACAUGAAACCAGUCUGCCCUGCGUCGCCAAUGUUGAUUAGUAUCUUCACUCUUUUUACCUUUCUCUUCAUUCCUUUCACUGGAAACUGGAACUAACAUAUUUUUCUCCUUCCUCCUUUACAUGACUUUAAGGGGUUCAAAAAGAAGACAGUAAAAUAUGUAAAAAAAAAAUAAAGAUGGACAACAUUU